rnacentral:lncRNA from 11 species
GUUUCCUGAUUGUGUGACAAUAAUCAACACCCGAGGAAAACAUUCCCUUACACACAGCCAGUAAAGGUUCAGGAACUGAGAAAACCAUUAUUUACUUUUUCUUACUUUUUCAUAUUAUUUGGCAUGCUGAAAGGAAACACUGAGAUUUUAGCAGCAGCCACCACCAUCUUUGUUACUGCUUGUGGGUCUCAAAGGAGUACAUGCUGUUGUCCGGUGGUGUUUUGGAAUGUAACAAAGUAG